CUACAUGAAGCCGGAAUCGCCAGUAAUCGCGGAUCAGAAUGCCACGGUGAAUACGUUCCCGGGUCUUGUACACACCGCCCGUCACACCAUGGGAGUCGGAAAUGCCCGAAGUCGGUGACCCAACCGCAAGGAGGGAGCCGCCGAAGGCAGGUCCGGUAACUGGGGUGAAGUCGUAACAAGGUACC
rnacentral:rRNA from 1 species